UACGUAGGGUGCGAGCGUUGUCCGGAAUUAUUGGGCGUAAAGGGCUCGUAGGCGGUUUGUCGCGUCGGGAGUGAAAACCAUGGGCUUAACUCAUGGCUUGCUUCCGAUACGGGCAGACUAGAGGCAUGCAGGGGAGAACGGAAUUCCUGGUGUAGCGGUGAAAUGCGUAGAUAUCUGAAGGAACAUCAGUGGCGAAAGCGACUUCCUGGACCAAUACUGACGCUCAUGUGCGAAAGCGUGGGGAGCAAACAGG
rnacentral:rRNA from 1 species